rnacentral:rRNA from 1 species
UACGUAGGCAGCGAGCGUUGUUCGGAGUUACUGGGCGUAAAGAGUGCGUAGGCGGUUUUCUAAGUUUGGUGUGAAAUCUCCCGGCUUAACUGGGAGGGUGCGCCGAAGACUGGAAGGCUUGAGUAUGGGAGAGGUAAGCGGAAUUCCUGGUGUAGCGGUGAAAUGCGUAGAUAUCAGGAGGAACACCGAUGGCGAAGGCAGGUCUCUGGGCUGACACUGACGCUCAUGCACGAAAGCGUGGGGAGCAAACAGG